AUUGAACGCUGGCGGCAGGCUUAACACAUGCAAGUCGAGCGGAGAGAGGUAGCUUGCUACUGAUUUUAGCGGCGGACGGGUGAGUAAUGCUUAGGAAUCUGCCUAUUAGUGGGGGACAACAUUUCGAAAGGAAUGCUAAUACCGCAUACGUCCUACGGGAGAAAGCAGGGGAUCUUCGGACCUUGCGCUAAUAGAUGAGCCUAAGUCGGUUUAGCUAGUUGGUGGGGUAAAGGCCUACCAAGGCGACGAUCUGUAGCGGGUCUGAGAGGAUGAUCCGCCACACUGGGACUGAGACACGGCCCAGACUCCUACGGGAGGCAGCAGUGGGGAAUAUUGGACAAUGGGCGCAAGCCUGAUCCAGCCAUGCCGCGUGUGUGAAGAAGGCCUUAUGGUUGUAAAGCACUUUAAGCGAGGAGGAGGCUACUUUAGAUAAUACCUAGAGAUAGUGGACGUUACUCGCAGAAUAAGCACCGGCUAACUCUGUGCCAGCAGCCGCCGUAA
rnacentral:rRNA from 1 species